rnacentral:rRNA from 1 species
UACAGAGGUGGCAAGCGUUGUUCGGAAUUACUGGGCGUAAAGGGCGCGUAGGCGGUCCUACAAGUCCCGCGUGAAAGCCCCCGGCUCAACUGGGGAAUGGCGCGGGAAACUGUUGGGCUUGAGUUCGGGAGAGGGAAGCGGAAUUCCGGGUGUAGCGGUGAAAUGCGUAGAUAUCCGGAGGAACACCGGUGGCGAAGGCGGCUUCCUGGACCGACACUGACGCUGAGGCGCGAAAGCUAGGGGAGCAAACGGGAUUAGAUACCCCGGUAGUCCUAGCUGUAAACGAUGAGUGCUGGGUGUAGGGGGUAUCAACCCCCCCUGUGCCGAAGCUAACGCAUUAAGCACUCCGCCUGGGGAGUACGGUCGCAAGGCUGAA